rnacentral:rRNA from 1 species
GACAGAGGAUGCAAGCGUUAUCCGGAAUGAUUGGGCGUAAAGCGUCUGUAGGUGGCUUUUUAAGUCCGCCGUCAAAUCCCAGGGCUCAACCCUGGACAGGCGGUGGAAACUACCAAGCUGGAGUACGGUAGGGGCAGAGGGAAUUUCCGGUGGAGCGGUGAAAUGCGUAGAGAUGCGGAGGAACACCGAUGGCGAAGGCAGCCCCCUGGGCCAAUACUGACGCUCAGGCACGAAAGCGUGGGGAGCAAACAGG